AAAAUCAACAAUGAAUACAGAAAAUGAUUUUUUUUAAAUAGGCUAACAAGUUGCAUAAGCUACUGACUGAUAUCAAAAGAUAUCUGAUUGUGGUUGCUUUUUAAAAUUGAAACUAGGCUAAGAUGGCGGUGAUACGAGUUGCUCAUUGUGUGAGGAUCCAUCACGCUCAAAAUGCUGCAGCGCCUGCAGGCCGUCAAGAUCCGCCUCCGCUGGGAGCCUGACAAGACGGUGAAGGUGCUAAAGGAGAAGACAGAAGCUGAGAAGGGUCGUGAUGCUUUUCUCCAAACUGGACAGAAACUCAUCUAUGCUGGCAAGAUUCUGAGCGAGGAUGUCCCCAUUAGGGACUAACACAUCCAUGAGACCCACUCUGUGGUCGUCAUGGUGACCAAGGCCAAAGCUGGCCAGGGUACCUCAGCAGCCCCAGAGACCUCACCCACUGCUGCCCGGAAGUCCUCCACCUCCUUCCCGCCUGCCCCUGCCUCAGGCAUGUCCCGUCCCCCACCCACCGCCAGAGAGGACCAGAGCCCAUCAGAGGAAUCAGCCCCUAUCACAUCCCCAGAGUCCGUGUCAGGCUCUGCUCCCCCUUCUGGUAGCAGCGGGCGAGAGGAAGACCAGGCCUCCACGCUAGCGACUGGCUCUGAGUGCCAGACCGUGCUGACAGGAAGUGUGUCGCUGCGCUACGAGCGGGAGCGGGUCGUGGCCGGCCGCCCCGAGAGCCAGCUACAAAACCCACCGAGCCAUAGAGUACCUACUCACGGGAAUUCCUGGAAGCCCGGAGCCAGAACACGGUUCAGUCCAGGAGCGACAGUUGUCCAAGCAGCCGACCUCGGAGGCAGGAAACUACCCCCUGCGCGACCGACCAAUCCCAGUUCCAGAACAUGCUGCGGGUGAUUCGACAGAACCCUGCGCUGCUGCCCGCUCUGCUCCAGCAACUGGCCCGGGCGAACCCUCAGCUUUUGCAGCAUAUUAGCCAGCACCGGGAGCGGUUCACCCAGAUGCUGAACGAACCCGCUGGGGAGCUAGCAGAUAUCUCAAAUGUGGAGGGUGAGGUGGGCGCCGAAGUGGAGGAGGCCCCGCAGAUGAACUGCAGCCAGAUGACGCCUCAGGAGAAAGAAGCUACGGAAAGGUUGAAAGCUCUCGGCUUCCCAGAGUGCCUGGUGAUCCAGGCCUACCUCACGCGUGAAAAAAAAAAAAAAAACGAGAACUUGCUGCCGACUUCCUCUUGAGUCAGAACUUUGGUAACAAGUGA